CCUGUUUGCUCCCCCGGCUUUCGUGCCUCAGUGUCAAGGUGUUGUCCAGGGACUCGCCUUCGCCACUGGUGUUCCUCUUGAUAUCUACGCAUUUCACUGCUACACCAAGAAUUCCAGUCCCCCCUCCAAACCUCCAGCCCAACAGUUUUCAAUGCCAUUUCAGGGUUAAGCCCUGAGCUUUCACAUCAAACUUUUUAGGCCACCUACGCACCCUUUACGCCCAGUGAAUCCGAACAACGCUCGGGACCUCUGUAUUACCGCGGCUGCUGGCACAGAGUUAGCCGUCCCUUCCUCUUUCAUUACUAUCAAGUCAUCCAUUGUUCAUGGAUAACCAUUGUUCACAAAUGACAGUGGUUUACGGAUCGAAACCCUUCAUCCCAUACGCGGCGUCGCUCCUUCAGGCUUGCGCCCAUUGAGAAAAAUUCUCGACUGCUGCCACCCGUAGGUGUCUGGACCGUGUCUCAGUUCCAGUGUGGCUGGUCGUCCUCUCAGACCAGCUACCCGUCUUAGCCUUGGUGGGCCUUUACCCCGCCAACUAGCUGAUAGGCCGCGGGCUCAUCAAGAAGCGCCAGGUCUUACGAUCCCCAGCUUUAACCUUACGGUCACAUUCGGUAUUAGCUCGCCUUUCA
rnacentral:rRNA from 1 species